rnacentral:antisense_RNA from 1 species
UCAUUGCAUACUUGGAACUUGAUGCCUCGUGUAGUCAUUGGCCCUGGGGCAGGACUGAUGGCUGACCCUGGGAGAAAGCUCCGGAGGCUCUGUCUUCAGCCCUAGCCCUGCCUCAUGGGAGUGAAUCCCUAACACCUAUAAAAUCACUUUCCUUCUCUAUAAUCUUAUCAUUCACGUAUAUAGAGUCUUACAAUAAGAAAAUUAGCCUGCUGAGCUAAAAUAAGGCCCUUGAACACCAACCCAUGGGAGAAGGAGGAAAACUACACUAGCAUCCAUGGCUAGCAACACUGUGGCCCAUGAUGCUUUAAUGCCAGCCUCUGCAGCCAAGCAACCCCAGGAAAUAAAAAAUCCCAAGAUUAUAUACCAAA